UUAGGCCUUGACAUACUAAGAACUUUCCAGAGAUGGAUUGGUGCCUUCGGGAACUUAGAUACAGGUGCUGCAUGGCUGUCGUCAGCUCGUGUCGUGAGAUGUUGGGUUAAGUCCGCAACGAGCGCAACCCUUUUCCUAUUUGCCAGCGGGUAAUGCCGGGAACUUUAAGGAUACUGCCAGUGACAAACUGGAGGAAGGCGGGGACGACGUCAAGUCAUCAUGGCCCUUACGGCCAGGGCUACACACGUGCUACAAUAGUCGGUACAAAGGGUUGCUACCUCGCGAGAGGAUGCUAAUCUCAAAAAGCCGAUCGUAGUCCGGAUCGCAGUCUGCAACUCGACUGCGUGAAGUCGGAAUCGCUAGUAAUCGCGGAUCAGAAUGCCGCGGUGAAUACGUUCCCGGGCCUUGUACACACCGCCCGUCACACCAUGGGAGUUUGUUGCACCAGAAGUAGGUAGUCUAACCGCAAGGAGGACGCUUACCACGGUGUGGCCGAUGACUGGGGUGAAGUCGUAACAAGGUAGGCGUAGAUGA
rnacentral:rRNA from 1 species